GGGGCUGUAGUCUAGCUUGGUAGGACAUACCCUUGGGGUGGGUAUAACCGGGGUUCAAAUCCUCGCAGCCCCA
rnacentral:tRNA from 1 species